UUUGGUCAUUUUUUCAACAUGCUAUUUUAUUGGGUUUUGGGCUGUUUUUGAAUGUUUUUUCAACAGUGCAUGUUAUAAGAAGUUUCUCCAUGCUAUACUAGGUGGUUUUCAGCUGUUUUUUGGACAUGUCAAAUUU